rnacentral:lncRNA from 1 species
AGGUACAAAUCAAGUAUUUUAAAACCGAAGAACCGAUUUUAGUUACUUUUUGGUUACAAAGUAGAUAUAAAUCAGGUACAUUUAAACCGAAGAACCGAUUGGGACCCAAACCCGAAAGUACAUCGGGUUGUACCGGUUCUUUGAAGAAUUUACUAACCCGACCCGAACCCGAUAAAACCCGAACCGGUCCCGAACCGAAUUUUCAUAUAACCCGAAUGAGACUGAUUUUGAUAAACCCGAAAAACCAAAACCCGAUUGGACUAAACCGAAACCCGAUUGGGACCCCCGAAUGCCCAGGCCUAUGAACGGUCCAGAAUCUCGAGAACUCAGACUCAUCUGCUCAUCCUCAUCCACCUCCAUAUAAGUCACCAAACCAUUCCUCUUCCCAACCUCCACCUUCAUGGCCUCUCUCUUCUUCACACGCUCUCUCUCAAUCUCUCACUCAAUUCAGCAGCCGCCGCAGCUCCAACACAACCACCAGAACCUUAUCAACUACUAUCUCAUCCGCCGUUUCCAUCCCACCGUACUCUCUCCUACCUCGAUCCUACUACGGUGGUGUCAAAACAGUCACUGUC